rnacentral:sRNA from 1 species
ACCGAUGUUAUCUACCGAGUGUGCAAUC